rnacentral:rRNA from 1 species
AACCUUUACACUGCACGACAGUGCGAUAGGGGGACUCCGAGUGCGAGGGCAUAGAGCCCUCGCUUUUGUACACCGUAAGGUGGUGUACGAAUAAGAACUGGGCAAGACCGGUGCCAGCCGCCGCGGUAAUACCGGCAGUUCGAGUGAUGGCCGAUUUUAUUGGGCCUAAAGCGUUCGUAGCUGGCCGAUCAAGUCUGUCGGGAAAUCUGCUCGCCUAACGAGCAGGCGUCCGGCGGAAACUGAUCGGCUUGGGACCGGAAGACUCGAGGGGUACGUCCGGGGUAGGAGUGAAAUCCUGUAAUCCUGGACGGACCACCGAUGGCGAAAGCACCUCGAGAGCACGGAUCCGACAGUGAGGAACGAAAGCUGGGGUCUCGAACCGGAUUAGAUACUCGGGUAGUCCCAGCUGUCAACGAUGCCCGCUAGGUAUGGCGCAGGCUACGAGCCUGUGCUAUGCCGUAGCGAAGGCGCUAAGCGGGCCGCCUGGGAAGUACGUUCGCAAGAAUGAAACUUAA